rnacentral:rRNA from 1 species
UACGUAGGUGGCAAGCGUUGUCCGGAAUUAUUGGGCGUAAAGCGCGCGCAGGCGGUUCCUUAAGUCUGAUGUGAAAGCCCCCGGCUCAACCGGGGAGGGUCAUUGGAAACUGGGGACUUGAGUGCAGGAGAGGAAAGCGGAAUUCCACGUGUAGCGGUGAAAUGCGUAGAUAUGGUGGAGGAACACCAGUGGCGAAGGCGGCUUUCUGGUCUGUAACUGACGCUGAGGCGCGAAAGCGUGGGGGAGCAAACAGG